GCCCGAGCUCCGGGGCUCUCAGCUCGGACCCGCUGUGCCGGGGUCCCUGAGGGUCCAAGCUCCACCUUGUAAUAAAGGCUCUUUUGUCUUUGCAUCGGACUCGGCUCCCUGGUGGUCUUCGGGGACAACGCAAUCGGGCCACAACAUUUGGGGGCCGUCCGGGAUCCCCAAGACCCUGAGGACCUGAUCCGAAGGGCCAGUAAGUGUUCAUUGUGCUGCGGCCUCGUGUGUCGGAGUGUUUUGGAACAGGCCUAAUCUGUACUUUGUGGGGUCGGCGUGUCCAGGCGGACUCGCUGGAGGCUAGCUGACCCAGUGCGGGAAGACGUUCAGGCUCCUUCUGGAAGGGAUUUGAUCCCUCCGGACUGGGUCGGGCGUGGUGAGGACGUCAUUCCUUUUGUGUUUCUUUUGACCGGACGGUUAAGAGUCCGUGGUCCCGGUUUGCUUCCGCGGACUGUCUGCUUGGUGUGUCUUUUGUGUUUCGUUGGUGUUUUAGUGUGGUUAGCUGUUAUGGGGCGACUUUGACCGACACCAUGGGACAGAAACAAACAACCCCCCUCUCCCUCUUCUUUGAUCAUUUUUCAGAGGUUAAGGCUAGAGCCCAGGACUUAGGGCUCGUGGUGAAAAGAACUAAAUUGAUUACAUUUUGCAGGAAUGAGUGGCCUUCUUACAACGUGGGCUGGCCUCCAGAAGAACUUUCCACCUCCCUAUUAUUUUUCAGGUCAAAGACAUCGUGUACCAACCCGGGACUGGUCACCCUGACCAGGUCCCGUAUAUCACCACCUGGCAGGACCUGGUGGAGGAUCCCCCUUCUUGGCUGAAAGCAAUUCUGCCUCCAUCCCAGGCAGAUAAACAGCCAAGCAGCUCAGUUCUCACGCUGAGUGAGAAGCCCCCUCUGGAGAAACCCUUUAAACCCUCUGCACGGCUUUAUCCUGUUUUGCAGGACAGUGUAGAUCAAAACCUGCUCUGCCCUCCUCCAUAUCAUCCCCCCACCAGACCACCGCAGGUGCUGUUUACCACUGAGGAAAAGGAAAGGAUCCUGUUGGAAGCCCAGAAAUCCAUUGAGGGCCCGGCCGGGGAGAUCACUUCGAACCCAGUGUUGAUUAAUGCUGCCUUUCCCCUCACUCGCCCCGAUUGGGAUUUUAACUCGGAUGCUGGUAAGGUGAGUCUCCAGGUCUACCGCCAGACUCUGAUGAGGGGGUCUCAGGAAAGCGGCUCAGAAGUCGACCAAUUUGGCUAAGGUAGGGAAUGUUCAACAGGAUAAGAAUGAGUCCCCCGCUGCUUUUUUAGAAAAGGAGACAUUCCGCAUGGAGGCAUUCCGCACCUAUACGCCCAUGGAUCCUGAAGCGGAGGACAAUAAAGCUGCAGUAAUAAUGGCUUUUGUUAACCAAUCAGCCCCUGACAUAAAGAGAAAGCUCCAAAGAGUAGGCAGAUUGGCUGAAAAGUCUCUGCAGGAUCUACUUGCUGUGGCAGAGAAAGUGUAUAAUAAUAGAGAGACCCUUGAGGAGAAGCAAACCCAGGCACAAGCCAAACUAACACAGGACCUGGCCAAGAUUCUACUUGCCAUCACAGCCAACUCCCCUGGGGAGCGGAGACAGCAACUAAAAUACCUGGCCAACGGUGGAGCUAAGGAGCAGCCCUGGGGAGGCCGUCAAAGGUUGCAGAGGGACCAAUGUGCCUACUGUAAAGAAAUUGGACACUGGGCUCGAGAGUGCCCUGAGAGAAAGGCAGGCAAGUCUACUCCCCCUGGUAAGACUCAUAUUUUAGAAAGGGGGGAGCUGAGUGAUUAAAGAGGUCAAGGUUUGGCACCCCUCCCUGAACCCAGGGUAACCCUCAAAGUGGAGGGAACUCCAAUAGACUUCUUGGUUGACAUGGGCGCCCAACACUCAGUUCUUGUUGCAGAUCAUGAUACAUUAUCCACCAAAAAAUCUUGGGUGCAGGGGGCAACUGGAAUGAAACAGUACUCAUGGACUACCCGAAGAACUGUAGAUUUAGGUACAGGCCUGGUAUCCCACGCAUUUAUGGUCAUCCCAGACGGUCCAUACCCAUUACUGGGCAGGGAUCUUCUAAAUAAAAUUGGAGCCUAGAUUUCCUUCAAACAGGAAGGACCCCAGGUCACAGAUAACCGAGGGCGCCCUAUACAAGUUCUAACUAUUUGACUAGAAGAUGAAUACAGACUCCACCAACAACCCCACCAGGCCCAACCUGACAUCUCCACUUGGCUCCACUCCCACCCAUUGGCAUGGGCAGAAACGGGAGGAGUAGGAUUGGCUGCUCACCGGCCCCCGAUUAUAGUAGAACUCAAACCCGGAGCAGUUCCCAUUUGGGUAAAACAAUACCCCAUUACUGCGGAGGCAAAGAAAGGGAUACUCCCACACAUAAGACGCCUCCUCGAGGCAGGAAUUUUAAUCCCUUGCCAGUCAACAUGGAAUACCCCCUUGCUACCUGUCAAGAAACCCCUCACCAAUGAUUACCGUCCAGUGCAAGACUUAUGGGAGGUCAACAAACAGGUAAUGGAUAUACACACUACUGUGCCCAAUUCGUAUAUGCUCUUGAGUGCUCUGGCUCCAACUCAGACAUGGUACACAGUGUUGAACUUAAAAGAUGCUUUUUUCAGCCUGUCUGUAGCCCCACAGAGCCAAGCCAUGUUUGCCUUCGAGUGGAGUAACCCGGAGAGUGGCAUCAGUGGACAAUUGACCUGGACCCACCUACGGCAAGGCUUCAAAAACUCUCCCACUAUCUUUGAUGAGGCCCUACAUGAGGACUUGGGAGUUUUAAAGCAACCUCCAGACCGAUGGAUGAGCAAUGCCCGUCAGAGUCUGCUGCUGAACCCACUAUCAGAGUCUGCUGCUGAACCCACCCCGAAUCCGGUUCCUACCUAGCUCUACCCUGAACCCUACCACUCUCUUGCCCAACCUGGAAGCAGAAACGCCGAUCCAUGAUUGCCAGGAUAUCUUGGCCCAGGUUCACAGCCUCCGCCAGGACCUGACCAACCAGCCACUACCUGAUGCCGAGGAAACCUGGUUCACGGAUGGCAGUAGCUUCAUGAAAGAUGGACACAGGUAUGCAGGAGCGGCAGUGGUCUCCGAAACAGAAACUUUAUGGGCAGAACCGCUCCCGAGCAGCACCUCUGCCCAACGGGCGGCGCUCAUCGCCCUCACCAAAGCUCUAGUCCUAGGAAAAGAAAAGAAGAUCAAUGUCUACACUGAUAGCUGCUACGCGUUUGCCAUGGCCCAUGUCCAUGGAGCCGUCUACCAGGAGAGGGGGCUAUUGACAGCAGAAGGAAAAACAGUCAAAAAUAAACAAGAAAUACUGGAUCUCCUGGCCGCUAUCUGGCUGCCAAGAAAAUUAGCCAUCAUUUAUUGCCCAGGGCACCAGAAGCCAGUUACCGCAGUGGCCAGAGGUAAUCACCGGGUGAACGAGGCCGCCAGGGGGGCAGCCCUCAGUGCAGCCCAGGCCCUUACCAUCAGCCUACCAGAUCCUGGGCAGCCAAUCCUGCCCGAAAAACCUGAGUACACCCCAGACGACCUGGCCUGGCUCCGUUCUAAUCCCCAAGCGCAUAGUCCUCUGCAACAUAACGGCUGGUGACGUACCGCCAACGGAAAGACCAUCCUCCUGGCACAAUAAGGGGUGGAAGUGCUGCGGCGCAUGCAUCAGGCCACCCAUAUGGGCAACAGGAGACUAAAAGACUUAGUCCGCCAUGCAAAGAUCAAAAUUGAACGACUGGACACUAAAGUUGAUCAGGUAAUCAAUGCCUGCAAGGCUUGUCAGCUCACCAACACCAGGGCUGGGCCAACUGCCCAGGGAAAUCGUGAACAGGGAAAUGAACCAGGUGCAUAUUGGGAAGUAGAUUUUACAGAAGUUAAACCAGGACGAUAUGGGUAUAAAUACCUUUUAGUUUUUAUAGAUACUUUUUCCGGGUGUGUUGAGGCCUUCCCUACGAAACAUGAGACUGCCCAGAUGGUGCUGAAAAAACUACUGGAAGACAUCCUCCCCAGAUAUGGACUGCCAGCUCUGAUUGGCUCAGACAAUGGCCCUGCCUUUGUAUCUCGGGUAACAAGGGGUAGCCACAGCCCUGGGAGCAACCUGGAAAUUACAUUGCGCUUACAGGCCUCAGAGCUCAGGUCACGUAGAAAGAAUGAACAGAACCUUAAAGGAGACCUUGACCAAAUUAACUCUUGAGUCUGGCGGGGACUGGGUGGCUCUCUUCCCGUUUGCUUUGUAUCGGGUUAGAAAUUCUCUUUAUAAGCUCAGACUCACUCCUUAUGAAAUACUCUAUGGAAGACUGCCUCCCAUUAUCCCCAACAUCUGCAUAGAAAUGUUAACUGAAGCAGAUGAUGAAAAUUUCCUUCUUUCCCUUCAGUGUUAUCAGCAGGCACAAAAGGAGAGUUGGAACUGCCUGCAGGCUACUUAUGAAGCAGGCCCCACAUCUGACCCCCACAAGUUCCAGCCUGGCAAUUGGGUAUAUGUGAAGAGACACCUCCGGGAGACGCUUGAGCCCUGGUGGAAAGGACCCUACGUUGUAGUCCUGACGUUGCUGACCGCCCUCAAAGUGGACGGUGUUGCCUCCUGGGUGCAUCAUACCCAUGCCAAGCUUGCAGACCCCUUCACCAUCCAGAAAGAUUUCAUCCUGUAAUGGAAACUUCAGCGGGACCAGGACAAUCCAUUGAAACUCAAGCUCCGCCAUGUGCCACCUGCUGUUUAGCGCUCCUACUAAUUGUAUGUACUCCUAUCUGGGGCUGAGUUCAGAAUCCACACCAAGCUUACAAUGUUACUUGGCAAAUAUGGGGAGGGCUUCCAGGAGGGCAGAAAGUACUAAACCAAACCUGGGGGUUACACCCCAAGAACACUUGGUAUCCGGAAUUAUAUAUAGAAUUAGACUUGCUGAUAGACCUCACUGCAAACAGUUGGACACCGAGACACAGUUCUUAUUAUGUAUGCCCUGGCUAUAGAAUUGGUAAGUGCGGAGGAGUAGACCAUGUCUUCUGCCAAUCUUGGAAUUGUGUCUCCGCUGGUAACAUCUGGUGGAUUCCCCCAAACAAAGGUGACCUCAUCACCAUGAAGCAUGGGACGGCCCCACGUGGCUGCCAGCACACAGGGAUAAGAGGACAUAAUUGGCUAUGCAAACCUGUGUCAAUCCAAUUCACCUUGCAGGGGAAGAACAGUCUAGUCACACGGGAAUGGGGUAAGACAUGGGGAAUCCGGUUGUUCGACCUGGUGCGUUUCCCUUAUGCCACAGACAAAGGUGGGUUUUUCCAAAUACGAGUUGUCCAUGAGCCAGUUCAAAACCCAAAGGCCAUAGGACCCAAUCUGAUUCUCCAGCCAUCAUUGAAUUCCCUCCCCGGCAUAGAAACCUCGGGGGUUUCUAAUGAGGCCCAACGCGGCAGCGCCUAAUUCGGCUGAGAAUUAUCCCGGGUACUCAGAUCCUAUCUGGGAUCUGCUGACCAGCACUUACCAAGUGCUCAACAAGUCCUGACCGGAUUUAACUGAUGCAUGUUGGCUCUGUUUUGAUGCUAAACAGCCUUAUUUCGAAGGGAUUGCCAUCAAGGGUCAUUAUACUCCUGGAGAAGCCAACGCAUGCCGCUGGCAGAAGCAACGCCCAGGUUUCACCUUGCAGGCUGUGACAGGUCAGGGAACUUGUAUGGGAAGAAUCCCCACCUCUCACCAACAUCUGUGUCAGGAGACUGUUUUGUGGAACGGGACUACAAUGCCCACAGAUGCCUGGUGGGCUUGCUCCACAGGUUUGGUUCCAGGCAUACACUCAGGAGUUAUAAACGCAACCAAAGAUUAUUGUGUUCUUGUGCAACUAAUACCGAAAUUAAUUUACCAUAAUCAAGAGGCGGUGCUCUGUAGAUAUGAGGAAACAACCCCCUGACAGAAACGGGAGCCUGUUACCGCCAUCACAGUCUUGGUUUUGCCAAGCCCAGGAUUAGCUGGAGCAAGUACCGGGGUAUCUGCUUUAAUCCUCCAGGAUAAAAAUUAUGGAGCCUCAGAAUGGCCAUUGACCUUGAUAUAGAAAGAAUAGAAAAAGUCCAUAACAUUACUCCAAGAUUCUCUGACUUCCCUCUCGGAGGUCGUACUACAAAACCGAAGAGGAUUAGAUUUAUUAUUUUUACAGCAAGGGGGACUAGUGCAGCUCUAGGUGAAGAGUGCUGCUUCUAUGCAGACCACUCUGGUGUGGUCAAAGAAUCUAUGGCUCUGGUGCGGGAAAGUUUGCAUAAACGUAAACUAGAGAGAGAAAGCAAGCAGAGUUGGUAUGAAUCCUUCUUCAACUGGUCUCCCUGGUUAACCACCCUGAUCUCAGCCCUAGCCAGACCUCUGGUCAUACCGUUAUUACUAUUGACCAUAGGGCCAUGUAUUAUUAACAGAAUAAUUACCUUUGUCAGAGAACGAAUAGGAGCAGUCCAGCUACUAGUCCUACAAAGCCAGUACUGGCCCCUGGUUUCUGAUGAAUUAGCGCUAGCUCCGGUCCCAUGAUUGGGCCCCAACAGUAAUUUUAGAUUUAGUAAAUUUAGCUGUCAUUUUAGAUUUAAGUUUCACUUUCCUGUAAGCCUGCAAUUUCCCCGAAAUCAGCAGGACAGCACUGGCCCAAUCAGGCCACCACACACCCUCCCCUUCGCCCAACUUUCGUUAUAAAAAUCCCCCUGCCCAAGCUCCCGGGCUCUCAGCUCGGACCCACUGCGCCAGGCCCCUGAGGGUCCAAGCUCGAGCUUGUAAUAAAGGCUCUUUUGUCUUUGCAUCGGACUUGGCUCCCUGGUGGUCUUCGGGGACAAUGUGAUGCGAUUGGGGCACAACAUCAGCAUUAUACUAUGUGGAGGGCAGACUUUCGUCACAGAAUGAAAUAGCAGCACUGCUGAUAAAAUGGUGCCUGUAAAUUGAAAGUUUCAAACAUCAAAUACAGUUUUUCUACUAGCAUAUGGAUUAUAAGAGCGUGUGUGUUCCAAGACGGGUUUACAUUUAAUUAUUGCAGUGUAAGGGAUAGAGAUCCUGGGUGGCUUUUUGUCUUUUGUUUGUUUGUUUCUUUUGUUUUUAGCCAGGGCUGGGUUUGAAAGCACCACCUCUGGCAUAUGGGGCUGGUGCUCUACUCCGUUGAGCCACAGGCACCACCCUUGUUUGUUUGUUUGUUUAUAGUCUCACUCUGAACCCUCGGUAGAGUGCUGUGGUCUCAUCCUUCACAGCAACCUCAAACUCCUGGGCUCAAACAAUCCUCUUGCCUCAGCCUCCCAAGUAGCUGGGACUAUAGACAACUACCACAAUGCCUGGAUAGUUUUUUCUAUUUUUAGUAGAGACGGUCCCACUCUUGCUCAGGCUGGUCUCAACAUUCUGACUUCAAACAAUCCACCUGCCUCAGCCUCCUAGAGUGCUAGGAUUACAGGCAUGAGCCACUAUGCCUCACAGCUUUUUUCUUUUGGUAUUGGUAAUAAGGCAUAUUUUAUCAGUGUGUUGUUUUUUGUUGUUGUUUUUGGAAAGUGUAGGGACUGAAAACAUGUAUAAUCUUAGGCCAUUUAUCUUGAUCCCUGUUGAACAGAUUCUCAGAAGUGAGAAUGCUAGCUUAGAAGGCAAUUGUUUCUGUGCUUUUUGUGGGCUUGACACGCUGCUUAUAAGUUUUUGCACUCCCGCCAAUAAUGUAUAAGUGGCUAUUUCCCCUCAGUCUCACCAUAAAUGUGUAUUGACAUCUGGAUUCUUGAUAGGCCUAGAACAAAUUACAUUCUUCUUUUAAUUAAUUUAUUUUUUUUUUUAAUGAGAAAGGGUCUCACUAUACUGUCAGGCUGGUCUUGAACACCUGGACUCAAAUGAUCCUCUUGCCUCAGCCUCCCAAGUAGCUGGAACUAUAGGUGCCGGCUACAAAUCACUUUCUUGAUCUAUACCUCAUUAUAAGAGAUAGAAAGUAUCCAGUGACUGGGCGGCACCUGUGGCUCAGUGGGUAGGGCGCUGGCCCUGUAUACCGAGGGUGGGCAGGUUCAAACCCAGCCCUGGCCAAACUGCAACAAAAAAAUAGCCAAGCAUUGUGGCGGGCGCCUGUAGUCCCAGCUACUUGGGAGAUGGCACUGUACCAAGGGCGAUAAAGUGAGACUCUGUCUCUAAAAUAAAAAAAAAGAGAAGUAUCCAGUGACAGAGAAAUAAUUGAACACUGCACAAGUUUUUGAGUGGACUUCUCUUGAUGUGUUAGCCCAGCUCACAGUCAGUAAUUUCCUUCCCUCCUCACAGCGCAGAGGUAGACAAAUUUAUAUUGCAUUAUCCCACUUCCCUCGCCAUAAACGACUGGAUCAGGGGAGAACACUUAACCUAACUAAGUAAGGUCAUCAGAUUCUCUCUAUAGGAACUGGAGAUUAGAACUGAGGCAUGGCCAGUGAUCUUUGAGUGGAUCUG